rnacentral:rRNA from 1 species
CACGUAGGGCGCAAGCGUUGUCCGGAAUCAUUGGGCGUAAAGCGCGCGUAGGCGGCCUCAUAAGUCCGUUGUGAAAGUCAAAGGCUCAACCUUUGAAAGCCGAUGGAUACUGUGAGGCUAGAGUCCGGAAGAGGCGAGUGGAAUUCCUGGUGUAGCGGUGGAAUGCGCAGAUAUCAGGAGGAGCACCAAUAGCGAAGGCAGCUCGCUGGGACGGUACUGACGCUAAGGCGCGAAAGCGUGGGGAGCGAACAGG